rnacentral:sRNA from 1 species
UUCGACUGGGUUGGACAACGUCAAAGCC